rnacentral:rRNA from 1 species
UACAGGGGGGGCAAGCGUUGUUCGGAAUUACUGGGCGUAAAGGGCUCGUAGGCGGCCAACUAAGUCACACGUGAAAUCCCCAGGCUUAACCUGGGAACUGCGUGUGAUACUGGAUGGCUUGAAUCCGGGAGAGGGAUGCAGAAUUCCAGGUGUAGCGGUGAAAUGCGUAGAGAUCGGGAGGAACACCAGUGGCGAAGGCGGCCUUCUGGACCAGUACUGACGCUCAUGCACGAAAGCGUGGGGAGCAAACAGG